rnacentral:lncRNA from 1 species
GGAACAUAUACGUUGCAGGUUGGAGAUCAACGGUGUGAAUGUUUCCUUGAUAUUACAGGUAUUUUUUUUCAGUUUCAUAUUCUUUAUGUUGCAUUUUGUUGAUUAAAUUUUGGACUGAGAAUUGAAUUUUGUUUAUCUCGGUUGUAGUUACUGUCUUAAAGAAAUCUAUGCUAUGAUUUCGUCAUCGCAUAUUAUUUAACAAUUUUUUAACAUAUAUUUGUUUUAAUUUUUUUUUUUUACUAUCUACAUACCUUCAAGUUAUACUCUACAAAGUUCAUAUAAUUACAAUAAAGUCAAUGUUAUAACAGUUAUAGCUAUAGAAAUGACUAUUGGUAUAAUUGGGGUAAGGAAUAGAACAACCUUAUCUUGGACAACAAUUUAAUUUUUAGAGACAGACGCGAGUUUGGUGUACGAAUUCCUUAUCCUGCUAUCUAUAAUUAGUUUAUUCAUAAGACGAAACGUGCUUCAUGCGUUCAAAACUUCAUCCUAGACUCUAUGACGAUAAGAAUAAAAACACACAUCUGACGGACAAAAACUCAAUCUAAGUAUCUAUUACGAGUUUGUUUGUUAAAAGAUAUGCGCGUCUGGCGUAUUAUAUUCAAAUCCUGAAAUCAAUGAUAAGUGAAUUAUUUUUCUGUUUGAAUGGUUUUACACUAGUCAUAUUUUGAACGGUUUAUAGCUUGCUGUUCCACAUGAGUUAAGGCUCCAUGUUAAAGACCGUACGUUGACCUAUAAUGGUUUACAUUAAAAAAAUUGUGAUUUGGAUUGAGAGUUGUCUCAUUGGAACUCAUGCCACAUUUUCUUACAACUAUUACUUAGCAUGAUAUGGUCAUCAAUUUAAAAUAACUGUUUACAAAUAAAGGCAACAGUAGUAUAUACCACUAUUCGAAAUUCACAAAUCGAUUGAGGAAAACAAAUCCGGGUUAUAAACUAAAAUUGAGGCAAAGACCUCAAAUAUAAGAGGAGAACUACGACACGACAGAACACAACACUAGAAUGACACACACACACACAGAAACGAACUAUUAUAUAGCAAUGGUCAUUUUCCUGACAUGGUACAGAACAUUUAAAAAAAAUGGUGGGUUGAACUUGGAUUUGUGGAAUGCCAUACCUCAAACUUUCGAUUUUUAGAGCAUAAAGGAAUAUAUAUAUAACCUUAGCUAAGUAAACUAUUUUGAAAAUUCCUGAAGUCUCUUUACGUGCGUUCUUUAUUUAGGCAUAUCUACUUUUUUUUUUAUUUUUGCGAUACGCCUGAAUGCAUUAGUCUUUGUACACAAAACGCGAGUAUGACGUACAAAACCUCACUCAUGAUAUCUAUAAAGAGAAUUUGUUCUGAACAACCUGUUCGAUGCAACUGCUGGUUGAUGUUUUCCUCUAGAGUUUAUCAGCCCAGUAUAAACCACUUUGGUGUUUCAAUGAAUUAAAAGUCAUAUAGUCAAACAUAUUUGAAAAAAAUGGAACUGUUGUUCCUCAAGGUUUUUUCACUUCGAACUUUAUUUUUUCCGUCUUUUUUUUUUUUUUUUUUUUUUAUUAUUUGAACAUCACUGAUCAAUUUUUGUGGACCAACGGGCAAUUCGGGUACACAUUGUCGAUCCAAGCAUCUUCAAUGAGCUUGCUUAUAGUAUUUUUGAGAAUAUUCUUCCAAAUUUACGUAGAAUCACCAAUACUUAGGUCCACUUUUCUCUCCACUGAAUUAUCAUUCAAACCACUAUUAAGAUUACUUUUGGGGCUAGCUAAAGCCCGAAUCCGGGUGCAGGAUUUUCAAUACAAGUAAACCUGGUAAUUACUUCAUCAUUUAUUUCGAAAAUAUAUGGAAAAUGCGAUGAAGGAUACUCUUUGUUUGGUUUCUAAAUUACUCCCCCUCCCUCCAUCCCCCCUAAGAAAAAAAAUAAAAAUAAAAAUAUGGGUUUUUUUUAACAUCGAUUUUCGAUAUGUCGUCUAUAUUUCAAUAUAGGUAAUAAUGUUUCUCUUAUAUUUUCCUACGAAUUCUGAAUUUUUUUUGUCAAUGCACUAUUUUUAUUUAUGUAAAGAUGAGUACUUUUUGUUAACUUUACUUUUUUUUCAAUUUGUGCUUUUAUUCACAGAAAGAACACCUACAUUAAUAAAUCUUCGGCAGUACCAGGAAGAACUUGCCGAGAUAGCUUUAACUGGUAAAAAUACUAUCAUAUGCGCUGGCACAAAUUCAGGAAAGACUUUUAUAGCAUUCCACAUAAUAGAAGAUCAUCUAAU